UACGAAGGGGGCUAGCGUUGCUCGGAAUAACUGGGCGUAAAGGGUGCGUAGGCGGGUCUUUAAGUCAGGGGUGAAAUCCUGGAGCUCAACUCCAGAACUGCCUUUGAUACUGAAGAUCUUGAGUUCGGGAGAGGUGAGUGGAACUGCGAGUGUAGAGGUGAAAUUCGUAGAUAUUCGCAAGAACACCAGUGGCGAAGGCGGCUCACUGGCCCGAUACUGACGCUGAGGCACGAAAGCGUGGGGAGCAAACAGG
rnacentral:rRNA from 1 species